rnacentral:lncRNA from 1 species
AAGCCGGAUGUUUUAUUUUGUGUCUGUGCCCGACUUCCUUUCCAGCACGGGUUAAUCUGUGCUGAAUUUAUCCGCCAUGCUCCGGCGUCCAGAAAAAAUAGAACUCUUGUGAUCAGCUGAGGAGUCCGGCGAUCCGCAGAGGAACGGAAAGAAGUCGGUGUAAAUUGACACGUUAACUUGAAUGGUUACGAUCAGCUACGAUCGGAGGAUACGACCUUUUAGGAGACGAUCAGGAUGAAGGUGGAAAUUAUACUUUAGACUCCUGGUGUGGAUGUCAGGAGUUUAUUCCUGCAGUUUCUUUUCUACGGACAUGAUUUUUCCUCUUAAAUCCAAGGUUGGUUCAAGAAGAUGAAGAAGGAACAAUUCAACCUCAUCUUUACAAUAAAGUCCCAAACUCAGUUCCUCUUCUGUUCUAGAGUCUAAAGUCAAACUGGAUUCUGGUUCUGGAUCACAUGUUUUAAAGUCCAGACGGUUUGAAGCCAAAAAUGUUCAGUAUUUCCAGAAUUUCACGCCUGAAAACGUCCAGAAACAGUCCAGUGAGUCCACACACAGUGGGUGGGCCCACACUGUGAGACACACACACACACACUCACACACACACACACACACACACACAGGAUCAGCGUCAUGUGAUGUUGUGUUAAUCUCAUGUCUGUGUUGUUUGUCUGGCAGCAGUUGAACCCGACGUGACCUCUGACCUCUGACCUGGUUACAGUGGGGUCAAACAUUGCUGAGUGACUGUACUCUGUGUGUGUGUGUGUGUGUGUGUGUGUGUACUCCCUCAGGCUCUGACUCUUUGUAUAUCAGCAGACCAUCACUCCUCCUCUUCCUCGUUUCCUUCCCUUCCUCUCUCCUUUAUAUCAGCGGUUCUCAACUGGUGGGUCCGGACCCAACAGUGGGUCACAGACAUGUUCUGGUUGGGUCACGAACAGCUGGUCAAAAAAGUAAAUAUUCAAUGUCAUAUUUUUUAGAUACUCAAAAUUUUCUGCACACGAAACUUCGGUAGUUGUCGUCCUCAUGUUGUCCCCUUCAUGUGCUCUGAAAUGAACUUUACUCGAUAAAAUAAAUGGAAUUAUGUAAAAGAUUAGAGUCUUUAAAGGCAGCCCUACGUCUCAUCGUCUCCUUACUAAAACUCCUCCUUUCCUUAACACAUCAUCUCCUCCCGUUAUCAUUUCACGUCUGUUCCAUUCCUCCUUUCUUACCUUCUCGUGUCCUCCUUUUUCUUCCUUUCUCGAACUUUCCUUACCUUCUCUUGUGUUUCCUUUUACCUGUUCUUUUAUUUUCUUCAUCUUCUACUUUCCCCCCUCAGUUUUCCUUUACUUUUCUCUUUUUCUCAUCCUUUUCUUUACUUUAUAAUGUCUCCUAUCCUUUUUCAGCCUUCCUGUCCCUCUUUCUCUUCCCUUUCCUCAUGGAUCUCUCACUUUUUUCCUUUCCUACUCAUCCUUGCUCCCUUACCUUUCCUCCUCAUCUCAUAAACGUUCCCUCUUUCCUUCCAUCCUUUCCUGUUAUUCAUCUCCUCUUCUGCCUCGUUUUUUCCUUCCCUUCCUCCCUCCUCCUCGCUCCUCCCUCCUCCUCCUCAGCUCAUUCAUCUUCUUGGUUCUCCUCUUCGUCCUCCCCUGUAGCUCCUCCUCGGACCUCCCAAAGCCACUCCCCUAGCUCCUCCCCCCUUCUGUCCCGCAGCGUUGCGUGCUAGCUGCUCUGCUCUCCGUGCGGCUGGCUGCUCUGACGUUAACGUGCUGUGACAUGUUACACUGAAACUACUUUAUGGAAUCAAUAUUAAAUUCACAGCCUGUGACACAGAGGGCUAAACACACUCACCGUGUGUGUGUGUCUGUGUGUGUGUGUGUGUGAGUGCACGUGUGUGUGUGGGUCACGGAUCGUUCACGUGUAUGUCUGAGGAGUAAAGUGUGUGUGUUUGCGUGUAAAGAAAUUUUCCUCACCAUCCUGUCAGUAUGUGUGUGUGUGUGUUGCUCUUGAGUAUCUAAACUUGUGAGGACCGUAUGAUGUAAACUCAAACAGAAAAAUGGGGACGAUCUAUGAAAUGAGUCAAAUUAGAACAAAAUUAAACAAUUUUUUUGCUUUUUUGUUUUGGUUUUAUAACCUUUUUCACUCAGUGUAAAUUUUAUUUAUGUUUUUAUUUUGCUUAUCAUUUAGUCUGUCUAGUUAUUUUAGCGUAAAUUACCUUUAUUUUCACGACUCUGUUCUUAAAAAUCUCAAAUCUAAGUGUGAUAACAAACCUGUAGUUGUCAGUUUUUUUAAAUUAAAUCCAUCAGAUGUUGUAUGUGGAGCAGCUUUUAUAAAACAAAAUGAAGCAUAAAAAAUUUUCAUAAAAUUAACAUCAAUAAACACAAUUAAAACCCUGAUUAAUGCAGAAGGUUUAACCUUGAAUAAUAACAUGAAAAUAAAAAACAAAACUCAGCAGGAACUGAGAAAAGCUAUCAUGAGAUUAUCACGAGAUACCAGAAGUAACGCUAAAAUAUUAAAAUUCCAGAGAAAAUAGAAAUUUAAUCAAUUAAUACCCCCUAUAAGAUAAUGAACUACCAAAAAAACAAAAUUACAAAAGAGAAAUAAUUGAAAUUUAAAGAAUAAAAGAAAAACAGACAGGAAAAAAUAAUAGUAUAAAUAAAAAAAAAAACAGACGAAAAACAAAAAAUCAACACAUAAGAAGAAAAUAAAUCACUAGGAGAUCAUCAAUAUCAAAGAAACUAAAUCAACAAUUAAAAUUAAAAAUAUAAAGAAAUUGAAAAGAUUAAAAAAGUUAAGAAAUAUACAGAGUAAUCACUUCUUAAUGUACCACAAAAUAAAAUAAUAAAUAAAUUCAAAUUAUCAAACAAAUAAAUAAUGAAUAAAAAUAAAAGGUAAAACAUUGUUACAUUGGUCAUAUUGACAAUUAAAUUCUUUAUCAGGAAAAAAUAUCUUUUUUUCAACAUUUGAGGUUAUGUGAAUCCUAAAGUUAUUUAACUCGUAUACUGAAUUUUGCUUCUAUGUCAUAAAUUUUGCUAAAAUUUCCUUAAUAUUUUUAAUUGUUUCAACUUUUUUGCAGCUCCUCAUUUUGCUCCACGUGUUCAAAAGUGAAAAUAAACUUUCAGAGCUCCUUUUUUAGUCGACGAGCUCCUCUGACACGUUACUCAUAUAAUUAGAAAUCAUGUUAGUACAAAAAAAAUCAUCUGUAACUUUGUGAAAAAUAUUAUAUUAAAUAUAAAUUCAGUAUGAGGUUAAAAUUUGGGAUCGUACAGGAAUGUCACGAAAUCAGUGUCCUUACAAGUAUAGUAAUAUCUGCACGUGUGUGUGUGUGUGUUAGUGUGUUUGUAGACCUGUCUGUUCAUUCAUGUGUGUGUGUGUGUGUGUGUGUGUGUGUGUGAGAGAGUAUGGAAGUGUGUUUGUGUGCAUAAAGAAGGAAUGUGAGUGUGUGUGUGUAACUGUUCAUUCAAGUAUGUGUGUGUGUGUGUGUGUGUGUGUGUGUGUGUGUGUGUGUGUGUGUGUGUGUGUGUGUGUGUGUGUGGUGUCCUGGGGGUGAAUUAGAGCAGAGGCAGUCAUGUUUGAUAGCAAGGUCUCGACAUCGAUGAAAACACUCUAAAACGGCACGCAAACUCUGAGCAGAAGAAAAAAAACAGCCGGGGGGGAGGAGAGGGGAGAGGGGGGGAGGCAGAGAGAGACGAGGGAGGAGGAAAGGAAAGAGGUAAGGGAGAAGGAAAGGAGAGAAAGGAAGAGAUGUAGGGGAGAGAAGUGAAAAUCAACGAUAGAGCAAAGAGAGGAAUGAGGAGAGAGAUGAAAGGAAGGAGGAGACGAGGGUGAGGAAAAGAGGGAGAGGGUGAAGGGUGCAGGUAAGGGAGGGCUGUGCGAUAGAAAAUUACAGCAAAGAUGAAAAAGGAGGAAAAGAAAGGCGAAAAUGGAAGAGAAGGAGAGAGGGGUAAAAGGAGAUAAGAUGGGGAGGCGGCAGGGGGAGAAGUGGAAAAAGGGGGAGGAAAAAAGGGAGUCUGCCUCUUAAAACCUCAUUAUUUCUCAUGAUUUCUUCCUCAAAGCUGAUUGGCUCCUCUCAGAGAUGUGAGUCUUUGAAAAAAAAAACUCUCAAAUAUAUAAUUUCAUGUUUUUAAAAGGCUCCAGAUGCACCCAGGAUGAAAUCUGACACUCUCAGGGACUACUUUCUGCGGCGGAUGAACCCUUUCAUGGAGUUAAACACGCGCCUUCUUGUUUAAUGAUAAUGACCGCUUUGUAAUUUAAUUUCUUGAAUUAUACUUGCAGAGAAACCCCGGUGCAUUAAUGAAAACAUGACUGAAAUAUUCAUGAUGAAAAUAACUAAAUCAGUGAUUCAGCUUUUUAGAAUAACCUUCAUCAAUAUUGAUGCGUCAUUAGCCUCUGUGCUGAUUUUAUGAAUAAACCCGCUCCGGAUGAGUCCGUCCAUAUGUGCCGUUUAUAUAUAUGAGCUAAAAGCCUAUAUGUUUAGAUUGUGUGUAUGUCAUGUAUAAUUCAUGUGAAGCUUCCUGCUAAAAGAUGAAUAAAAGGCCCCUUUGGCGCGACCUUUGACCUGCAGCCACAGACGGUGAGGUGAAACUUUAAAAUUUAAUGAUGAAACAGGAGCUAAGCUAUCGGACAAAAAUCACAUUUCACGUUCAAUAGAAGGAGUUUUAUUAAAAAAAACACUUUUUUCUCAUUGAAAGGAUGUUUACUGCCGUGUACAUAGUUCAGUUUGUAAACAUGAGGCUAACCCCGAAUUUCCACCGCAUCAGGAACAGCAGCGAUUUUCGCCGUACGCCAAUUCCUACUAGAUCCGUUUGUGAGGCGAAUUUCAUGGUGGAUUACAGACAGCAGGAAUCGUGAGAACCCGCAGAUUCACGUGCCGGAUGUUUUAUUUUGUGUCUGUGCCCGACUUCCUUUCCAGCACGGGUUAAUCUGUGCUGAAUUUAUCCGCCAUGCUCCGGCGUCCAGAAAAAAUAGAACUCGUGAUCAGCUGAGGAGUCCGGCGAUCCGCAGAGGAACGGAAAGAAGUCGGUGUAAAUUGACACGUUAACUUGAAUGGUUAUGAUCAGCUACGAUCGGAGGAUACGACCUUUUAGGAGACGAUCAGGAUGAAGGUGGAAGUUGGGGGUAAGUCUAAAACUCACAUGAGUUUGCAGCUAUAAAACUGCAGCAGGAAAGUGCAUCUCCAGAUUUAGACGAUGCAUCAACUAUUUCAUUUCAACUGUUCACUGUUGAUGCAAGACCAGAAAUAUUUUGAGUUAAAACUAUGAAGAAAAAGUCAGAAGCGGUCUUUAUUUAACCAACAGUUGGUGCAACGCAGUCAGUGCAACAGCUGAAAGUCCUUCUGGAAGUUAGUUCAAGAUGACCCUAACCGGGAAUCCAACUGGAUCUGGAACGGCUCCGCUCUGGACCGGCAGGCAAAUCAGUUACGCAAGCACACAGCGCCCACUGGAUCCGAUCCGCCUCCGCCAUCAGAGGAGAAGUGCUUGCAAGGUUACUGAUAUUUCUCGCAAGACUGGACGAGAUCUCACGAGAUUUUAGGUUUUAGCCUUAACCCUAACCCUCUGUACAAUGACUGACACCAUUCUUGAGUUUACAACAACGGAUUCACAAACAGAUUGUCUCCAGUUGUCAGUCGGUGCAUUGGCCAUAAAUAGUUUGUACUUGACUGCAGUGGGUGCAAAAACAUAAAUCAUUCCUGGUUCAACAAAUCCCAGUGCAAGCAUUCCUCCUAAUUGGGUUUUAAACUCCUUCUGUUUAAUCAUAUCUGGUGCUGGUCGGUGCAUUAACUGCAUUCUUGCUCAAGAACGCUGGCGAGUUGGCGAUCAGAAACAGCUGGUGCAAUAACAGAAGCAGGUUCAUGACUAAAGUGUGUUUUCAAACAGCGGCUGGUGCAUCGACCGGAACUGUUUCUGGUCAGCAGCGGUUGGUGCAACGACUGGAACUGUUUCUGGUUGAACAAAAGCUGGUGCAGUGGCCCAAAUCAGUCUGUGCAAGUUUCAGAAUGACUUAUACUGAAAUCAACAGUUGGUGCAUUUAAAAAAAUUGUGCAACAGCUGAAUAAUGUUUUUUUUUUCAACAUCAGGAGGUGAUAAACCGUCCCUAUAUGAGAGGAACUAUUUCCAGUCGGUGCAACAACAACAUUUACCUGCACAGUGACCGAUACUUUAGGCCGGUGAAUACGAUGUCUUCCAUUUUUCGUGUGUCUGGUCGAUCUUUGUUUGACGACCUUGUUUGUGUUAGAAAUUUGCUGGACUGACGGACUUCUCCUGAACUCCAGAACCAUCUCUCCGAACAAUGGUCGGAACAAUUAGUGGAACUAUUUCUUGUUGAACAUCAGAGGGUUCAGUGACCGCGAACUAUGUUGUCGCUGAAUAUGACUCAGUGGAACUAUUCUUGCUCCGUGACUGGAACGCUUUUAACGAUGCGGUGACUUUGCACGCCUUCCUGAAAUGUCACGGCGUCAGGUUGCUGGAUUUGGUUCCAUUGUUUCUGCCAAGACACCAAAAUAAACGUGUCAUUGACUGUACUUGGACAAAGUCACGCUCCCAGUGCUUUAACCAGUGCUCCCAGUCUUUCUCCCAGUCCAAACACAGCCUGGUUAAUGUCUGUCUCUCUGCGUGACGGUGCAGACUGCGCUGGUUUGUUUAGUGUAGUUGUGGGUCUGACUUAUUCAUGUGUGUGUUUGUUGUUUCUGCACGAACUUCAGUGACUCCCACCAGGACAGCUGAUGCCCAGAGUGUGAAGGAGCUGAUUCAACCAGCUACACACAAACACACAAAUAGUGACACACACACACAUAUAGUGACACACACACAAACACUCAGCGGCAGAGGUGUCACCACUGCAGUGUGUUUGUGUGUGUGUGAGCAUGUGUGUGUUUUUCUGCUUCAGUGAGCUGUAGCUGAAGGCUGAUGUUUACACCGACAGCCUGACAUCAACGACAACACUGCGGCGCAGCAAAGGACACACACACACACACACUGCCACCCACAAACACACACAGAGAUGCACGACACACACCAUGCUUUGUUUCACAGAGUUGAUCUUACACUGAACCAAAGGCUCGGUGUGUUUUGGCGUCUGAUUGGACAGCGGGUUUAGUUCACGUAUAUGAACUCUUCAUCUGUUUGAGGUCAAGAUCAACAUAUGUUGUCAUGCAGGUAACCAUGGCAACGGUGCCGAUGAUCCAGGGCCAGUGAGCUGACGACAAACACACAGACAAGGGCUGGCCUGAAUUUACAAAAAAUAUUUAAACACGUAUUUUAAAGAGUUUUUGGUUUGUCCACAUGCGUACGGAGGGUGUCUAAGUCUGGGGUGGGGAGAGUGCACCUUUUUAAUGUCCAAACAUCCCAUGCCAAGGUCAAGAGAGCAGCAGCAAAGACCCCUGGGUAACAAAACAGAGAGGCGUCAACACCAGUAAAAGCAGGAGGCAGGGAGAGCAGCAGCAAACACCCCCAAUGACUCUCACUGACACUCAUUUUUUUGUGUUUAAUUUGUAAUAAAUGAGUUUAAACAUUGCCAAACGAGCAAAAUACAGAUACAGUUCUCUAAAACAUUUGAUUGUACACUUUGUAAGGUCUGUCCACCAGAUUGAAAAGAUGCAAUUCUUAAAAUUCUUGUUUUUUGAAUGGGGUUUGGUUGGGUCCAUAAAUGAGUUCAAACAUUGCCAAUCAAGCAAAAUACAGAUACAGAUUUGUAGAACAUUUGAUUGUACACUUUGUAAGGUCUGUCCGCAAGAUUACAAAGAUGCAAUUCUUAAAAUGCUUGUUUUUUUGAAUGAGGUUUGGUUGGGUCCAUUUUGAACAGCAAGGCGCACCUUUCGCACCUUAUUGUCUGAAAACAGUCCAUUUCUGCACAGUCUUUCUUUCCAGAUAGGAAAGCUUUUCUGCACCUGAUCCCUCCUCUCC